rnacentral:lncRNA from 1 species
CCUUGUAAGUCAAAAUUGUAUUAGGCCUUUAUGCGAUUUGCUUGUAUGCCCUGACCCAAGGAUCGUGACAGUAUGUUUGGAAGGUCUUGAAAACAUUCUGAAAGUAGGGGAAUCUGAGAAGAAUUUGGGUCGCACAGGAGAAGCCAACCUGUUUGCACAAAUGAUUGAUGAUGCUGAAGGUCUUGAAAAAAUUGAGAACUUGCAGAGUCAUGACAACAAUGAGAUAUACGAGAAGGCUGUGAAGAUGCUUGAGACGUAUUGGUUGGAGGAUGAUGAUGAGCCAGGCCCACCAGGAGACGCAUCCCAGUCUGGUUUCCAAUUUGGAGGGGCUGAGGUCUCCGUCCCUGCUGGUGGCUUCAGCUUCAACUGAAGGUAAUAUUGGAACGGAGUAAAUGGCAGAUAGUUAGCUGCAUCUUGGAACGUAAUUUCUUUUAAGCGGCAAUGGAUAACUUUUUUCUACCGCAAUUUUCUUUGGUUAGUUGAUAUUACUAGAAAUUGCCUGAUAUCUAUACGAUGGCUGGGUAAUUUUGGCUCUCCCAAAAGAUAUAUCAUACCUAGCUUGUUUGGUAGGGUAGUUGUUUUCAUGUUACAUUGGAUUCUUCAUUUUUAUUUAGUGUAUGAUCAAAUGUGUCUUGCAAAUUAUUUGUUGGCUCAUGCAUGCUUUGUUUUAUCUUUCAAUUUAUUGUCGAAUACCGUGAUGUGCGUAUGAGUAAGGUUAUAAACGAAUCAAAUGUUUUUUUAAAGUGUCAUUAUAAAUGGGACAAAUUGAAAAAUGAAAGUGUGCUAAGAUAAUUGGCAUAUACAACAUAUACUUAAUUCUUUCAUUUAAUUUAAAUACAAAUUUAAAAAUAAAGAUCUUGAAGGAUAUCUAAAGGGUGAACAUCUUCCAUGUUAUAGGUUUUUUUUAAAAAAGGUAUAAAUCAAAAUCCUAAAUUGCCACAUAAUAAAUAUUUUAAAAAUAUAUAUGAAUUAUAUAGACAAAUUCGAUGUAAUGAAGGUCAAAUUAAUGACAAUUCAAAUCAAUUUAAAUUUUAUAAAAUUCGUAACUAUUACAUACUAUAAAUAAAAUAAACUAAUCUUAUGCAAACUUUAAAAUCCGAUCAUUUUUAUCUACAACAUUAUUUCUAUCUAUUUUUUGCAAAUAUAUAUAUAUAUAUAUAAUAUAUUUUCAUGUACAAAAUUGAUCGAUUUAUUAAGUUUAUUUUUUUAACAUUGAAAAAUAAUUACUAUUUUAUUAUUUUAGUUGGAUUUCGAUUUUAAUAAAAAAUUUAUCCAAGCAAUGGUGCUACCGGUGAGUCGUGAGUAGAUACAUGCCAAAUAAUUUUAAUAAACACAACACCCAUUAUUUUAUAUGCAUUUAAAAUAAUAUUUUAUCAGUAGGUUAGUGAAAAAANACAUAUAUUGUGACUUUAUUCCAUAAAUUCCCCUUAAAUGCUUUCUUGCCCAUCCUUUCAUUUAUCUUCACCCCAGGACAUAGAGUGGCUAAUAUUUUAAUUAUUCACUUAGAUGAUAUACAUAUGCGAAGAGCCUGCCAUUGGGUCUGUAAAAGUAGUUUGUACUUCAAUUGUUUUAUAAUAUAAUUUCAUAUCUGAAGAUUGAGUGCCUUUUGCAGUUUAUCAUCCGCAAUGGUGCACUGCCCUCUCUUCUUAACCUCUUGAAUGGUAGUAUAAGAAAAGCAUUAAAAAGGAAGCUUGCUGGACUAUUUCCAACAUCACAGCUGGAAACAAAGAACAAAUUGAGGUACAGUUUGUUUUCUUUGGAUUUGUAUGUAUGAAGCAUAUUAGCCAAGGUGGCUUGGGGUGCCGGAAAACAUGUUUUUAUAGCAACACUCGGCUUAUUGCAGGCUGUCAUUGAGGCUGGUAUUAUUGGUCCACUAGUCCAAUUGCUACAAAAUGCUGAAUUUGAUGUUAAAAAAGAGGCUGCGUGGGCCUUGUCAAAUGCCACGUCUGGUGGUACUCAUGAACAAAUAAAGUGAGAUAUUAUGAUUUAUGCAUUUUAUGUUACCUUUUUGUUAUGUCAUUUUAUCAUUGUUACUAGAAUUGAAUCCCUUCUUUCUUGAAUAGGUACCUUGUAAGUCAAAAUUGUAUUAGGCCUUUAUGCGAUUUGCUUGUAUGCCCUGACCCAAGGAUCGUGACAGUAUGUUUGGAAGGUCUUGAAAACAUUCUGAAAGUAGGGGAAUCUGAGAAGAAUUUGGGUCGCACAGGAGAAGCCAACCUGUUUGCACAAAUGAUCGAUGAUGCUGAAGGUCUUGAAAAAAUUGAGAACUUGCAGAGUCAUGACAACAAUGAGAUAUACGAGAAGGCUGUGAAGAUGCUUGAGACGUAUUGGUUGGAGGAUGAUGAUGAGCCAGGCCCACCAGGAGACGCAUCCCAGUCUGGUUUCCAAUUUGGAGGGGCUGAGGUCUCCG